rnacentral:rRNA from 1 species
CGGGGAGCGAACAGGGGAAGAGCCCAGUAUGAAAAUCUCCAGCCUUUGGCUGGCGAAUUGUAGUCUGGAGGAGCGCUCCCUGGGUGGGUGCUGGCCGAAGUAUACUGGAAGGUAUCGCUAUAGAGGGUGAGAGCCCCGUAGGCCAGUUAACCCGUCCUUCACGGGACGCUUUCAAAGAGUCGCGUUGUUUGGGAAUACAGCGCUAAUUGGGUGGUAAACCCCAUCUAAGGCUAAAUACCAAUGGGAGACCGAUAGCGAAAAAGUACCUCGAGGGAACGAUGAAAAGACCGCUGGCAAGCGAGUAAAAGAGUGCAUGAAAUUGUGUAGCGGGAAGGGAUGGCCUGGUAGCAUGCGCCCGGGUUGAUGUGGUUCGCAAGAGCUGCUGUCUGCACUGGGUGCUGGCUGGUACCGGCGCCCUUGGCCGUACAAUACUCUGCUGAGGUGCAGAGCACUGCGGGCGAGGGUGCCGAGGCUGAUCAGUUGCUUUGCCCCUUCGGGGAGCUGCUCUGACAGGGUACCAGCUGAAACCUGUCCAUCUGCCCGUCUUGAAACACGGACCAAGGAGUCUAGCAAGUGCGCGAGUCGGUGGGUGGAAAACCCAUGAGGCGAAAUGAAAGUAAAAGGUGGGACGGCGCAAGCCGGCACCAUCGGCCAACCAUGAGCUUUUGUGAAAGGUUUGAGCAUGAGCGCAGCCGCUAGGACCCGAAAGAUGGUGAACUAUGCCUGUGCACGACGAAGCCGGCGGAAACGCCGGUGGAGGUCGGUAGAUGUGCUGACGUGCAAAUCGCUUUUCAGACAUGGGUAUAGGGGCGAAAGACUAAUCGAACCAUCUAGUAGCUGGUUUCCUCCGAAGUUUCCCCCAGGAAAGCAGGGACUUAUUCGCGGUUUUGUGCGGUAGAGCGAAUGAUUAGCGGUUACGGGGAUGAAACAUCUUCGGCCGAUUCUCAAACUGCGUACGUGCAAGACGCCCCCGUCGCUUAAUUGGACGGGGGCAUAGAACGCGAGUCCCUAGUGGGCCAUUUUUGGUAAGCAGAACUGGCGAUGCGGGAUGAUCCGAAAGCUGGGUUAAGGCGCCAAACUGCCCGCUAACCUAGACCCCACAAAGGGUGUUGGCUGAUCCAGACAGCAGGAAGGU